AGACCACAGAUUAACAUAUAUUGUUUCAGAACAGGAAAACAAUAUUGAAUUAUUGAAAACAAAUUAGGCGGGGUAGAACAUCAUAGGUGGCCUUACUUUCGGGAUAGAUCAAACUAAAGGGGUUCUGCCUUAACAUCAUUGUUGGCUUUACUAUCGGGAUAGAUCAAACUAAUGGAGUUCUGCUUUAACAUCAUUGUUGUCCUAACAUUCUGAAUAUAUCAAACAAAUGGUGUUCCGCCUUACCAUAAUUGUUGGCCUUACAAUCGUGAAAGAUCAAAUUAACUUGGUUCUGUCUAAACCUCAUUGUUGAUCUAACAAUCAGGAUAGAUCAAACUAAUGGGGUUCUUCCUUAAUAUCGGUUUUGUCCUUUCAAUCGGGGUAGAUCAAACUAAUAGGGUUCUGUCUUAAUAACAGUUUUGUCCUUACAAUCGGGGUAGAUCAAACUAAUGGGGUUCUGCCUUAAUAACAGUUUUGUCCUUACAAUCAAGGUAGAUCAAACUAAUGGGGUUCUUCCUUAAUAACAGUUUUGUCCUUACAAUCGGGAUAGAUCAAACUGAUGGGGUUCUGCCUUAAUAACAGUUUUGUCCUUACAAUCGGGGUAGAUCAAACUAAUGGGGUUCUUCCUUAAUAUCAUCGUUGUCCUUACAAUUUUGAUAGAUCAAACUAAUGGGGUUCUGCCUUAAAAACAGUUUUGUCCUUACAAUCGGGGUAGAUCAAACAAAUCGGAAUCGGCCAUUACAUAAUUGUUGGCAUUACUAUGGAUGCAGAACAAUUAAUGGGUUGGUGCCUAAAAAUUAGUGUUGGUCUUUCAAUCGAGGCAGAACAAUAUUAAUGGGGUUCUGCCUGAACAAUAUUGCUGGCCUUGCAAUCAAGGUAGAAAAACUAAUGGGGUUCUGCCUGAAUCUAAUUGUAGGCCAUACAAUCGAGGUUUUACAAUCGAGGCAGAGCAAUUAAUGGGGUUCUGCCUUAAUAUUAUUGUUGGCCUUACCAUCGAGGCUGAACAACUAAUAGGGUUUAGCCUGAACAUUAUUGUUGGCCAUACAAUCGAGGCAGAGCAAUAAAGGGGGUUCUGCCUUAGCAUUAUUGUUGGCCUAACAAUCGAGGCAGAAUUUUAAAUGGGGUUGUGCCUAAACAUUAUUGUUGGCCUUACAAUCGAGGCAGAACAAAUAAUGGGUUGGUGCCUAAACAUAAUUGUUGAAAACAAAUUUUGGUCUUACAAUCGUGGCAAACAAAGUAAUGGGGCUCUGCCUGAGCUUCAUUGUUGGCUUUACAAUCGGGGUAAAUUAAACAAAUGGGGAGGUGCCUAAACAUUAUUGUUGGCCUUACAAUCUAGGUAGAACUAAUAAUGGAAUGUUGCCUAAACAUAAUUGUUGACCUUACAAUCGAGGCAGAUUAAACUAAUUGGGAGGUGCCUUAACAUUGUUGUUGGCCUUACAAUCGAGGCAGACACACUAAUGAGGUUCUGCCUGAACAAUAUUGUUGGCCUUACAUUCGUGGUAGAUCAAUUAAUGGGAAGGUGGCUUAACAUAAUUGUAAGCCUUACAAUCGAGGCAGAACAAGUAAUGGAUUGGUUCCUAAACAAAAACAAAGUUACUGGCUUUACAUUUAAGGCAGAACAAACUAAUUGGGUGGUGCCUAAAUAUAAUUGUUGGCCUUUCAGUCGAGGCAGAUCAAAGUUAUUGGGUGGUGCUUAGAAAAAGUCAAAUGUGGUAGUGCCUGAACCAUAUUGCUGGCUUUACAUUCGAGGCGGACAAACUAAUGGGGUAGUGCCUAAACACAAUUAUUUGCAAUCGGGGUAAAUCAAACUAAUGGGGUAGUGCCUACACACAGUUCCUGGCUUUACAAUCAAUGUAUAUCAAACUAAUGGGGUAGUGCCUACACACAGUUUCUGGCCUUCCAAUCAAGGUAUAUCAAACUAAUGGGCUAGUGCCUACACACAGUUUCUGGCCUUACAAUCAAGGUAUAUCAAACUAAUGGGGUAGUGCCUACACACAGUUUCUGGCCUUACAAUCAAUGUAUAUCAAACUAAUGGGGUAGUGCCUACACACAGUUUCUGGCCUUACAAUAAAUGUAUAUCAAACUAAUGGGGUAGUGCCUGAACAUUAUUGUUUGCCUUACAAUAGUGGUGCAUGUAGCUGCCUUGUAUUUUCAAAUGUCAUUCACAUUUUGUGAUUCGCUAGAGUUGUUUGUUUUUGUUAUUUGUCUCAGUGAUUGCUGUUUUUCUCUAAUCAUUUAUGGUCGGAAUGCGGCCCGAGCGGGCAAUAACUGUUAUAAUUCCAGUUACUGCAAUGAAAACCUGUGCAUUUUGUUUCUGAUAUUGAUAUAACAAAACGUUUAAAUCUGGAGUUCAAUAACUUUUACCAUUCUCCAUUACAACAACAACAAGGCAAUUUAUAUAGUCAGUUGAUUUACAAUGUCUUGUAAAAGCUGACAGAAGAAAUAAUCCAUGAAGUGUUAAAGCUUGAAUCUAAAAUCAAUGUGUUAAUAUCCGCAAAUGCUUAAUGUUUAUCUUUAAUUUGUAUUAAGUACCGGAGUCUUUAAACCAAUUUCAUCAGAAAAAAGCACUGUCUUUUAGCUAGACUAUUGGAAAGAUAUGGAGAGCCAUAUUUCUCACUCUAGCGUCAGUGUCAGUAGUGGCGUCGGGGUCGGUGUCGACGUCACACCGUAGUUAAGGUUUUGCUUGUACGCAAAAUAUUGAGAUAACCAUAUUUUGCAUUAAAUGCAAAUUAUGGCCCUGUAUGAAUCGACAUAGAAAUAUUGUUAAGCUAUGCAUUUAACAAGUUAUAGGUAAUAUCACACCAUUUGAUUGAUGUUUUGCAUUUAGAAUUUAUCAAGCGGUACAAAACCUAAAUAACCAAGUUAGAUAACUCUAUUUUACACAUGAUGUAAAUUAUGGCCCUUUAUUAUUUGACUAAGAAAUUCUGGUUAAGAUUUUCAAGUCAGUAUAUAUCUCAGCAAAUACAUCAUGUAUUGCAUUGAAACUUUUUAAAUGUGUUUCCAACCAUCCAAUCUACUAAAUGUAUGGGGUAAGAUAGCAUUGCCUUACAAAAAUGUUUAUUAUGUUCCUUUAUUAUUUUACUGAGAAAUUCUGGUUUAGUUUUUUAAUACAUGUAAGCACUCGUUGGUUAUAAUAUCAACAACUAUGUUAUGUAUUGCAUUUGAACUUUGUACAACGGUACGCAACCGUCAAACGUACUUGAAAAAUUAAGUUAGAUAAUAUUAAUAUGAACAGCUACAGAAACAAGCUCAGCAGCCAAAAGUUAAAACAUAAACCCCGUUUAAAACUUUAUUUUGAAAAUAGUGGAGAAAAUGGCCCUUUAUUAUUUGAUUUAGAAAUUUGGAUAAGGGGUUGCACUUUACCUCAUGUAAGUCAAAUUCUUUUUAUAAAAAAAAAUCAUGUAUUGCAAUGAAACUUAAGACAGGUGUUCCAACUAUCCCAUAUACUUAUGUAAUCAAGUAACUUGCAAAAAAACUUUAUUCUGCAAUUAAUGAUAAUGCAAAAUAAAGGCCGUUUAUUAUUCGACUUAAAAAUUCAGAUAAAGAAUUGGCAUAUAAUCUUAUUUAACAUUGAUCCAAAACCUUAACAAUCCUUUAACUUAUAAAUGGCGGAAUAGUCGAGCGCGCUGUCUCUGUGAAGGCUUUGUUAGCUUCAUCUUUUGUUUGAAAAAAUGUCCUCUUUUUAAAUAUUGGCAACCGAAACAUGGAAAAUACUAAGCAAUUGAUGAAAAUGACGCAGAUCUUUUCACUACGUCGCUACCCGUCGUACGCCCCUUUACAAAUAGUUAUAACUGAUGACGUACCUUUCUAAUAACUCCCUUUUUGAAAAGUGUGUUUUCUGCGCGGCUACCCGCAUCUCACGCAUAAUUAUAACUUUAUUUUUCAUGACGCCCACUAUGAGCUGGACAGACAGACAACAAACGACUGCGAGGACAAGAUGAUUACCAUUCUUGAGGACCCACGGUAACUCAUACAUGAUAUCUUCGCAAAGCAAGCCACUAAAAAUGUAACAAAGGAUACAUGUGUUUUCAGUCAUUCCUCACUGUCAGUGGCAAGUCUGAUUCGUUUCAAGACAGGUUGUUAUCAAGUUCAAAGCAAAGAUUGCAAAGGAACCGACUUUAAUGACUUAGGCCUUACACAAAUUGCUGCAGACAGAUUUAGACGUCGACCAAUCUCUACAAAUAACCGAGGGUCAGAUGAUUGAUUGGCUACGCACAGAAGUAUAAGGCCACAGGGGCACUGGACUACACCUACUGCUCAGAAAAUACAUCAAACAGUCUAAAACUGACGAAUUAUGUCCACGUAUGCAAGAUGCUACGUAGAAAUCGACAGCAUCUGAAACCGACAGCGGCUGAAUUUCAGCAUGUUCAACAUGAUGUUCCCAGUGAUCCUAGUGUAGUUAGUGCUAAUAAAUCAAAUGAUGCAAGUGUCAAUCUUGAGAAUGUUUCCGAGAAUCAGCCAGUUCCAGCAGAUGAGAGUGAUAAGUUAAAAGCUUAUUAGUGUUGUAGGGAAAAAGCUAAUCAAGGUGAUGUGAAAAUCACAAGAUUAUGCUAAAGUGUAAAAGUUCAAGCAAAGUUUGAUGAGUGUGUGUGUUAUCCAGUUGAAGUGUUUGUGUAAAUGGUCAUAAGUGUUAAAAUAUCUAAAAGAAAGCUGUGAAUCAACUACAAUCAUCCAUAGAAUUCAAGCAACAUAAUCAGAAGAAACAAAGACCUACAAGUUUGGAACUGUCACCAACUAAUGUGUCAUAUAUUUUAGUUUCUUAAUUUCUCAUAAGAAUACCUUAAUGUUUACUAUGAUUGUGUAAAAUGUACUGUUAACUAUUAUUAGUUCAUGUUAAAUAUGGGGUUUUAAGUCGACUCUUAGAUAUGCUUUAAAAAAAAUAACAUUUAAUUAAUAAGUAAUGAAUUACUUAAGUGUUAAAUUGUUUCUGUUUUCUACCUUUAAAGAAAAUAGAUCAUGCAAUAUGUUUAAACUUUAUUUGAGAUAGUACUGUGAACAUUUAAAGAAGGGAGAUGGCACAGAUUUGAUUAUAUUUAA